rnacentral:rRNA from 1 species
UACGGGGGGGGUAAGCGUUGUUCGGAAUUACUGGGCGUAAAGGGCUCGUAGGCGGCCAACUAAGUCAUACGUGAAAUCCCUCAGCUUAACUGGGGAACUGCGUGUGAUACUGGAUGGCUUGGAUUUGGGAGAGGGAUGCGGAAUUCCAGGUGUAGCGGUGAAAUGCGUAGAUAUCUGGAGGAACACCGGUGGCGAAGGCGGCGUUCUGGACUGCUACUGACACUGAGGAACGAAAGCCAGGGGAGCAAACGGG